rnacentral:rRNA from 1 species
CCUACGGGUGGCUGCAGUGAGGAAUAUUGGUCAAUGGGCGAGAGCCUGAACCAGCCAAGUCGCGUGAAGGAUGAAGGAUCUAUGGUUUGUAAACUUCUUUUAUAUGGGAAUAAAGUGAGGAACGUGUUCCUUUUUGUAUGUACCAUAUGAAUAAGCAUCGGCUAACUCCGUGCCAGCAGCCGCGGUAAUACGGAGGAUGCGAGCGUUAUCCGGAUUUAUUGGGUUUAAAGGGUGCGUAGGUGGUUAAUUAAGUCAGCGGUGAAAGUUUGUGGCUCAACCAUAAAAUUGCCGUUGAAACUGGUUGACUUGAGUAUAUUUGAGGUAGGCGGAAUGCGCAGUGUAGCGGUGAAAUGCUUAGAUAUUGCGCAGAACUCCGAUGGCGAAGGCAGCAUACCGGCGGCGAUCUGACGCUGAGGCACGAAAGCGUGGGUAUCGAACAGGAUUAGAUACCCUAGUAGUC